rnacentral:misc_RNA from 1 species
GUAGGUGAACCUGCGGAAGGAUCAUUACAACGUAUCCACGUAUCAACUCGAGAACUGUCCCCUUUAGAGUAAACACUUGUGGAUGGAGUUUAUGACUGAAUGACUUUCGCUGAUGGAGUUCACGGAUUUUUAUCUGAGAACUGAAAGGCUUUCGGUCGCUGGCUCAAACGCUUGCGUUUUUGCUGGGACUUCGUUUACUCUACUGCGGUUAUUACCAUCGGCGUCUGUUUCACUAUUAUUAACCCUUUGA